rnacentral:rRNA from 1 species
UACAGAGGUCUCAAGUGUUGUUCGGAUUCAUUGGGCGUAAAGGGUGCGUAGGCGGCGCGGUAAGUCGGGGUGUGAAAUUUUCGAGGCUUAAACUUCGAAACUGCAUUCGAUACUGCCGUGCUUGAGGACUGGAGAGGAGACUGGAAUUUACGGUGUAGCGGUGAAAAUGCGUAGAUAUCGUAAGGAAGACCAGUGGCGAAGGCGGGUCUCUGGACA